UCGAAAAUAGCCAUGAACGACCAUUUUCAAUAAUAUCGAAGGCUAACACCUAUGGAUUUUUGACCAAGAAAUGGUCUCCACCAGAAAUCCAAGAAUGUGAUCUACGACAAGGAAACAUAUGUGGGGUGAGGUGUAUGAGCCUCUGGUCGACGAUCAAUGGCCACACAACCCCCAUUUUGCCGAAAAUAGCCAUGAAUGACCAUUUUCAAUAAUACCGAAAGCUAACACGUACGAGUUUUUAACCAAGAAAUGGUUUCCACCAGAAAUCCAAGAAUGUAAUCUAUGGCAAGGAAACAUAUGUGGGGUGAGGUUUAUGAGCCUCUAGUCGAUGAUAAAUGGCCACACAACCCCCAUUUUUUAUGAAAAUAGCCAUGAGCGACCUUGAAAAUAGCCAUGAGCGACCAUUUCAAUAAUACUAGAGGCUAACACCUACGGAUUUUAGACCAAGAAAUGGUCUCCACCAGAAAUCCAAGAAUGUGAUCUAUGGCAAGGAAACAUAUGUGGGGUGAGGUGUAUGAGCGUCUGGUCGAUGAUCAAUGGCCACACAACCCCCAUUUUUGUCGAAAAUAGCCAUGAACGACCAUUUUCAAUAAUACCGAAGGCUAACACCUACGGAAUUUUGACCAAGAAAUGGUCUCCAGCAGAAAUCCAAGAAUGUGAUCUAUGGCAAGGAAACAUAUGUGGGGUGAGGUGUAUGAGCCUCUGGUCGACGAUCAAUGGCCACACAACCCCCAUUUUUGUCGAAAAUAGCCAUGAGCGACCUUGAAAAUAGCCAUGAGCGACCAUUUUCAAUAAUACUAGAGGCUAACACCUACGGAUU
rnacentral:lncRNA from 1 species